rnacentral:rRNA from 1 species
UACGGAGGAUGCAAGCGUUAUCCGGAAUGAUUGGGCGUAAAGCGUCCGCAGGUGGCUAUGUAAGUCUGCUGUUAAAGAGUGAGGCUCAACCUCAUAAGAGCAGUGGAAACUACAUGGCUAGAGUGCGUUCGGGGCAGAGGGAAUUCCUGGUGUAGCGGUGAGAUGCGCAGAUAUCAGGAGGAACACCAGCGGCGAAGGCGGCGCUCUGGGCCGGUACUGACGCUGAGGAGCGAAAGCUAGGGGAGCAAACGGG